rnacentral:precursor_RNA from 8 species
GCUUAUUUACAUGGUAAUGCUUGUGCAGUGUGAGGUAGUAGAUUGUAUAGUUGUAGGGUAGUGAUUUUAUCCUGUGUAGAAGAUAACUAUACAAUCUAUUGCCUUCCCUGAGGGGCAGAAAUACACAGAAAAGGAAU